rnacentral:rRNA from 1 species
GACGAACGCUGGCGGCGUGCUUAACACAUGCAAGUCGAACGGAAAGGCCCUGCUUUUGUGGGGUGCUCGAGUGGCGAACGGGUGAGUAACACGUGAGUAACCUGCCCUUGACUUUGGGAUAACUUCAGGAAACUGGGGCUAAUACCGGAUAGUAGCUCCUGCUGCAUUGUGGGGGUUGGAAAGUUUCGGCGGUUGGGGAUGGACUCGCGGCUUGUCAGCUUGUUGGUGGGGUAGUGGCUUACCAAGGCUUUGACGGGUAGUCGGCCUGAGAGGGUGACCGGCGAGAUUGGGACUGAGAUACGGCGGAGAGUAGUAGGGGAGGCAGCAGCGGGGAAUAUUGAACCAUGGGCGGAAGCCGGAUGGAGAAACGCCGAGUGCGGGAUGACGGCAUUCGGGUUGGAAAACGCUUUCGCCUGUGACGAAGCGUGAGUGACGGUAAUGGGUAAAGAAGCACCGGCUAACUACGUG